rnacentral:rRNA from 1 species
AUUGAACGCUGGCGGCAGGCCUAACACAUGCCAGUCGAGCGGAUGAAGGGAGCUUGCUCCUGGAUUCAGCGGCGGGCGGGUGAGUAAUGCCUAGGAAUCUGCCUGGUAGUGGGGGAUAACGUCCGGAAACGGGCGCUAAUACCGCAUACGUCCUGAGGGAGAAAGUGGGGGAUCUUCGGACCUCACGCUAUCAGAUGAGCCUAGGUCGGAUUAGCUAGUUGGUGGGGUAAAGGCCUACCAAGGCGACGAUCCGUAACUGGUCUGAGAGGAUGAUCAGUCACACUGGAACUGAGACACGGUCCAGACUCCUACGGGAGGCAGCAGUGGGGAAUAUUGGACAAUGGGCGAAAGCCUGAUCCAGCCAUGCCGCGUGUGUGAAGAAGGUCUUCGGAUUGUAAAGCACUUUAAGUUGGGAGGAAGGGCAGUAAGUUAGUACCUUGCUGUUUUGACGUUACCAACAGAAUAAGCACCGGCUAACUUCGU